rnacentral:rRNA from 1 species
CACGUAGGCGGACUCUUAAGUCAGGGGUGAAAUCCUGGAGCUCAACUCCAGAACUGCCUUUGAUACUGGGAGUCUUGAGUUCGGGAGAGGUGAGUGGAACUGCGAGUGUAGAGGUGAAAUUCGUAGAUAUUCGCAAGAACACCAGUGGCGAAGGCGGCUCACUGGCCCGAUACUGACGCUGAGGUGCGAAAGCGUGGGAGCAAACA